GUAGCAGCAAUUGCUCUUUUGAAGAAGAAGGCAUGAAACAUUUACCACUUAACAAUGAACUCGCUGAACUGGUGAAGAAGAAGUCGAUUCGACAGUCGACAGAAGAAGGCGAACUCAGAAGCUAGUGGAGCUUGGAGUUAAUUGGAAGCCCCUGCCUGAGGCUGAGGAGAGGUCAAAUGUAACUUAAUUUCGUAAUUGGAUAUUGUUUUAAGGUUAGACACAAGAUGCAGAUUUAAAGUGAAUUGGAUGUUAUGCACUUAAUUAAACAAGUGAACUUAAUUGGAUGUUUA